rnacentral:rRNA from 1 species
AUUGAACGCUGGCGGCGUGCUUAACACAUGCAAGUCGAACGGAGUGGCGAACGGGUGAGUGACAAGUGGGUGAGCUGCCCUGCACUUCAGGAUAAUACGGGGAAACUGCGUUUAAUACCGGCGAGUGUGGGAUGGGCCCGCGGCAUAUAGGAUUGUUGGUUGGGUAAUGGCAGACCAAGGCGGCGACGGGUACCCGGCCUGGGAGGGUGGACGGACACAUUGGGCUUAAGACACGGACCAGACGCGUACGGUGGGCAGCAGUGGUGAAUAUGGCACAAUGGGGGGAAGCCUGAGGCGGCGGCGCCGCGGGGGGGAUGCCAGCCUUCGUGUGGUAAACUCCUUUCACCAUCGACGCGGUAGAUGGAGAAGAAGCACCGGCUAACUACGUGCCAGCAGCCGCGGUAAUAC